rnacentral:rRNA from 1 species
GACGAACGCUGGCGGCGUGCUUAACACAUGCAAGUCGAACGGAAAGGCCCUGCUUUUGUGGGGUGCUCGAGUGGCGAACGGGUGAGUAACACGUGAGUAACCUGCCCUUGACUUUGGGAUAACUUCAGGGAACUGGGGCUAAUACCGGAUAGGAGCUCCUGCUGCAUGGUGGGGGUUGGAAAGUUUCGGCGGUUGGGGAUGGACUCGCGGCUUAUCAGCUUGUUGGUGGGGUAGUGGCUUACCAAGGCUUUGACGGGAAGCCGGCCUGAGAGGGUGACCGGCCACAUUGGGACUGAGAUACGGCCCAGAGUCCUACGGGAGGCAGCAGUGGGGAAUAUUGCACAAUGGGCGGAAGCCUGAUGCAGCAACGCCGCGUGCGGGAUGACGGCCUUCGGGUUGUAAACCGCUUUCGCCUGUGACGAAGCGUGAGUGACGGUAAUGGGUAAAGAAGCACCGGCUAACUACGUG